ensembl:snRNA Gm24512 predicted gene, 24512
GAGUGAACACAGCUCUUUUAGAAUUUUUCUAGCAGGAUUUCUGACUUUGGUCAGAAAAGUCCAAA